rnacentral:rRNA from 1 species
UUUAUUGGAGAGUUUGAUCCUGGCUCAGGAUGAACGCUGGCGGCGUGCCUAAUACAUGCAAGUCGAGCGAAUGGAUUAAGAGCUUGCUCUUAUGAUGUUCGCGGCGGACGGGUG